rnacentral:snoRNA from 2 species
GCUCCGAUGAUGAUGUAAAAUGAACUUUCGUUCUUCUGAAGUUACAACGUGGAAGAACAAUUUUGAGACCUAAACUGAGGAUAG